rnacentral:rRNA from 1 species
UACGUAGGGGGCAAGCGUUGUCCGGAUUUAUUGGGCGUAAAGAGCGUGUAGGCGGCCGUACAGGUCAGCUGUGAAAACUCGAGGCUCAACCUCGAGACGUCGGUUGAAACCGUACGGCUAGAGUCCGGAAGAGGAGAGUGGAAUUCCCGGUGUAGCGGUGAAAUGCGCAGAUAUCGGGAAGAACACCCGUGGCGAAGGCGGCUCUCUGGGACGGUACUGACGCUGAUGCGCGAAAGCCAGGGGAGCGAACGGG